rnacentral:rRNA from 1 species
UACGUAGGGUGCAAGCGUUAAUCGGAAUUACUGGGCGUAAAGCGUGCGCAGGCGGUGAUGUAAGACAGGUGUGAAAUCCCCGGGCUUAACCUGGGAACUGCAUUUGUGACUGCAUCGCUGGAGUGCGGCAGAGGGGGGAUGGAAUUCCGCGUGUAGCAGUGAAAUGCGUAGAUAUGCGGAGGAACACCGAUGGCGAAGGCAAUCCCCUGGGCCUGCACUGACGCUCAUGCACGAAAGCGUGGGGAGCGAAACAGG